rnacentral:rRNA from 1 species
UGAGGAAUAUUGGUCAAUGGACGCAAGUCUGAACCAGCCAUGCCGCGUGCAGGAUGACGGCUCUAUGAGUUGUAAACUGCUUUUGUACGAGGGUAAACGCAGAUACGUGUAUCUGUCUGAAAGUAUCGUACGAAUAAGGAUCGGCUAACUCCGUGCCAGCAGCCGCGGUAAUACGGAGGAUUCAAGCGUUAUCCGGAUUUAUUGGGUUUAAAGGGUGCGUAGGCGGUUUGAUAAGUUAGAGGUGAAAUUUCGGGGCUCAACCCUGAACGUGCCUCUAAUACUGUUGAGCUAGAGAGUAGUUGCGGUAGGCGGAAUGUAUGGUGUAGCGGUGAAAUGCUUAGAUAUCACGAAGAACUCCGAUUGCGAAGGCAGCACACUAAGCCGUAACUGACGUUCAUGCUCGAAAGUGUGGGUAUCAAACAGGAUUAGAUACCCUGGUAGUCCACACGGUAAACGAUGGAUACUCGCUGUUGGCGAUAUACGGUCAGCGGCUUAGCGAAAGCGUUAAGUAUCCCACCUGGGGAGUACGCCGGCAACGGUGAAACUCAAAGGAAUUGACGGGGGCCCGCACAAGCGGAGGAACAUGUGGUUUAAUUCGAUGAUACGCGAGGAACCUUACCCGGGCUUAAAUUGCAAAGGAAUGAUCUGGAAACAGGUCAGUCUUCGGACCUUUGUGAAGGUGCUGCAUGGUUGUCGUCAGCUCGUGCCGUGAGGUGUCGGCUUAAGUGCCAUAACGAGCGCAACCCCUCUCCUUAGUUGCCAUCAGGUUAAGCUGGGCACUCUGGGGACACUGCCACCGUAAGGUGUGAGGAAGGUGGGGAUGACGUCAAAUCAGCACGGCCCUUACGUCCGGGGCUACACACGUGUUACAAUGGUAGGUACAGAGGGCAGCUACCCAGCGAUGGGAUGCGAAUCUCGAAAGCCUAUCUCAGUUCGGAUUGGAGGCUGAAACCCGCCUCCAUGAAGUUGGAUUCGCUAGUAAUCGCGCAUCAGCCAUGGCGCGGUGAAUACGUUCCC